rnacentral:rRNA from 1 species
AAACUCUGUUGUUAGGGAAGAACAAGUAUCGGAGUAACUGCCGGUACCUUGACGGUACCUGACCAGAAAGCCACGGCUAACUACGUGCCAGCAGCCGCGGUAAUACGUAGGUGGCAAGCGUUGUCCGGAAUUAUUGGGCGUAAAGCGCGCGCAGGCGGCCUUUUAAGUCUGAUGUGAAAGCCCCCGGCUCAACCGGGGAGGGUCAUUGGAAACUGGAAGGCUUGAGUGCAGAAGAGAAGAGCGGAAUUCCACGUGUAGCGGUGAAAUGCGUAGAGAUGUGGAGGAACACCAGUGGCGAAGGCGGCUCUUUGGUCUGUAACUGACGCUGAGGCGCGAAAGCGUGGGGAGCGAACAGGAUUAGAUACCCUGGUAGUCCACGCCGUAAACGAUGAGUGCUAAGUGUUGGGGGGUUUCCGCCCCUCAGUGCUGCAGCUAACGCAUUAAGCACUCCGCCUGGGGAGUACGGCCGCAAGGCUGAAACUCAAAGGAAUUGACGGGGGCCCGCACAAGCGGUGGAGCAUGUGGUUUAAUUCGAAGCAACGCGAAGAACCUUACCAGGUCUUGACAUCCCGCUGACCGUCCUGGAGACAGGAUUUUCCCUUCGGGGACAGCGGUGACAGGUGGUGCAUGGUUGUCGUCAGCUCGUGUCGUGAGAUGUUGGGUUAAGUCCCGCAACGAGCGCAACCCUUGAUCUUAGUUGCCAGCAUUCAGUUGGGCACUCUAAGGUGACUGCCGGUGACAAACCGGAGGAAGGUGGGGAUGACGUCAAAUCAUCAUGCCCCUUAUGACCUGGGCUACACACGUGCUACAAUGGAUGGUACAAAGGGCUGCAAGACCGCGAGGUUUAGCCAAUCCCAUAAAACCAUUCUC